AGGACGAACGCUGGCGGCGUGCUUAACACAUGCAAGUGGAGCGACGAACCAGGGCUUGCCCUGGGGCAGAGCCGCGAACGGGUGAGUAACACGUGGGUUACCUGCCUCGAUGACCGGGACAACCCGAGGAAACUCGGGCUAAUACCGGAUGUGCCCGCAAGGGGAAAGGAAGCUUCGGCCUCCGCAUCGAGAUGGGCCCGCGGCCCAUUAGCUUGUUGGUGAGGUAACGGCUCACCAAGGCUUCGAUGGGUAGCUGGUCUGAGAGGACGAUCAGCCACACUGGGACUGAGACACGGCCCAGACUCCUACGGGAGGCAGCAGUGGGGAAUCUUGCGCAAUGCGCGAAAGCGUGACGCAGCAACGCCGCGUGGGGGAAGAAGGCUUUCGGGUUGUAAACCCCUUUCAGUUGGGACGAAGCUUCUCCGGUGAAUAGCCGGACGGAGUGACGGUACCUUCACAAGAAGCACCGGCUAACUACGUGCCAGCAGCC
rnacentral:rRNA from 1 species